UGCAGAAGGAUUGGGGCCUGAACUUCUCGAGAGUUUGGUUAAGAUGGCUCCAACAAAGGAAGAAGAGAUAAAACUAAGAGAUUACAAUGGGGAUACUUCAAAAUUAGGGUCAGCAGAACGAUUCCUCAAGGCUAUUCUUGAUAUUCCAUUUGCCUUCAAAAGAGUAGAAGCCAUGCUAUAUAGAGCAAAUUUUGAUGCUGAAGUAAAGGAUUUGAGGAAGUCUUUUCAGACACUUGAGGAAGCAAGUCAAGAACUGAAGAACAGCAGACUAUUCUUCAAACUCCUUGAAGCUGUUCUGAGAGCAGGAAACCGCAUGAAUGUUGGCACUAAUCGUGGUGAUGCAAGAGCUUUCAAACUGGAAACUCUUUUGAAAUUAAUAGAUAUUAA
rnacentral:misc_RNA from 1 species